UACGUAGGGUGCAAGCGUUAAUCGGAAUUACUGGGCGUAAAGCGUGCGCAGGCGGUUUUGUAAGUUUGUCGUGAAAUCCCCGGGCUUAACCUGGGAAUUGCGAUGAAGACUGCAAGGCUAGAAUCUGGCAGAGGGGGGUAGAAUUCCACGUGUAGCAGUGAAAUGCGUAGAGAUGUGGAGGAACACCGAAGGCGAAGGCAGCCCCCUGGGUCAAGAUUGACGCUCAUGCACGAAAGCGUGGGGAGCAAACAGG
rnacentral:rRNA from 1 species